CUAGAGCUAAUACAUGCAACCAAGCUCCGACCUUACGGAAGGAGCGCAUUUAUUAGACCAAGACCAAUCGGGCUCUGCCUGACUUUUGGUGACUCUGAAUAACUUUGCUGAUCACACGGUCUAGCACCGGUGACAUAUCUUUCAAGUGUCUGCCCUAUCAACUUUCGAUGGUAGUUUAUGUGCCUACCAUGGUUGUAACGGGUAACGGAGAAUAAGGGUUCGACUCCGGAGAGGGAGCCUGAGAAAUGGCUACCACAUCCAAGGAAGGCAGCAGGCGCGCAAAUUACCCAAUCUCAGUUCGAGGAGGUAGUGACGAAAAAUAACGAGACGGUUCUCUAUGAGGCCCGUCAUCGGAAUGGGUACAAUUUAAACCCUUUAACGAGGAUCUAUUGGAGGGCAAGUCUGGUGCCAGCAGCCGCGGUAAUUCCAGCUCCAAUAGCAUAUGCCAAUUCUGUUGCUGUUAAAAAGCUCGUAGUUGAAUCUUUUCCAAGGAGCUAGUCUGCCUAAAGGGUACGUACUGGUUUCCGAGGAUUUUUCAGCUGGUUUUCCCGUGGUGCUCUUCACCGGGUGUCACGGGUGGCUAGCACGUUUACUUUGAAAAAAUUAGAGUGCUCAAAACAGGCGUUACUGCCCGAAUAGUGGUGCAUGGAAUAAUGGAAUAGGAUCUCG
rnacentral:rRNA from 1 species